rnacentral:rRNA from 1 species
AGUGAACGCUGGCGGUAGGCCUAACACAUGCAAGUCGAACGGCAGCACAGUAAGAGCUUGCUCUUACGGGUGGCGAGUGGCGGACGGGUGAGGAAUACAUCGGAAUCUACUUUUUCGUGGGUGAUAACGUAGGGAAACUUACGCUAAUACCGCAUACUACCUACGGGUGAAAGCAGGGGAUCUUCGGACCUUGCGCGAUUGAAUGAGCCGAUGUCGGAUUAGCUAGUUGGCGGGGUAAAGGCCCACCAAGGCGACGAUCCGUAGCUGGUCUGAGAGGAUGAUCAGCCACACUGGAACUGAGACACGGUCCAGACUCCUACGGGAGGCAGCAGUGGGGAAUAUUGGACAAUGGGCGCAAGCCUGAUCCAGCCAUACCGCGUGGGUGAAGAAGGCCUUCGGGUUGUAAAGCCCUUUUGUUGGGAAAGAAAAGCAGCAGGUUAAUACCCCGCUGUUCUGACGGUACCCAAAGAAUAAGCACCGGCUAACUUCGUG